CAAGGAUUUGGCCUCAAGACUGACAUGCCAUGUCUCACCUGACUUUCCACAGUGACAAGCAUAGCAGAGUUAUCAAUGACUGCAAAGUACUCAUUGUGCUCCUAGUGAUUCAGCUACGAUAUAAGUGUCGGGACGUUAAACAAAUGCUUGCUUGGGAAGCACUCAGAAAGCACAUGACACACGGAGAUAAGCCUAUUAGUUCUCCCUAAAGUUAUCUGUUGAAGUUCCAGUGUCUUGGAGGGUUCUCCCGGCUGAGAUCAAAAAAGCAUGCUCUUAGAACGACGGCCGUGGGUCCCCUAUAUGCAUCAGGGCCGUGUCAGCUAUCACAGACUGAAUAGACUUCUGACCUUGGAAAAGCAAGUGCGCAGGUCAAAGCCAUUUCUUCCAAGAUGAGUUUGAACUCCACUGACUUUUAGUUGGAGUAUUUGACUCGUUUACAGAGGACCUGAAAAAUACCAUCUCAUAUUUCCCGGUUUGCAUUGCUGAUGUAUUGAUCUUCUCUCCAAAUUAAAGCAUUCCCUUAGGAGGAAGAAGAAAUGCUCAUAAAAGUCAGCGAGCAAGUGAACACUGAGGGCUCUGUGAGACUUGGACAGAAUGAAGAAAAGCCAGGCCAUUAAGCAGUGCAUAUAAAACUUUAAUAAGAGUCAGACAUACAAAUGAGCUUCGUUUUAUGCAAUGUUAACACAGGGGGAUUACGGUUUUCUGAGAAUGCAUCAUGUAAAGAAGGACUUGAAGGAACAGGGGAGAUUGUGGGAGUCUGUAAGAGAGCUCGUUCUAGGCAGGAAGCAGAAGGAGCCGAGGGAGACGUUUACCUGACUGCUGCAGGGGUAGUAUAUUGGCUGGCACAGCGGCAUAGGAUGAAUGGAGAAGAGCAGAUUCGCAUAAACCCAUGGAGCAAACUAACAAUGUGUGCGAUUUUCGGUGGUGUCGGGUUCCUUAUGAUGCUCUUGGCAGGAUGUGAGCCACCAAUGAAGAAGACAAGGAUGUGGGUGGUGGCUCGAGCCAGAGUUCCCAUCAGCGGUGGAAGUCACCCUGGUGUACCCUGGUGUCCCAGUCCUCACCGUUAUUAACUCCACUGGUUGUAGCCGUCACAUCUUUGGCAUUGGAACUGAAGCACCGAAGAUAAUUUCUACUUUCUCCACCGUCUAACUUUCAGUUUUAAGGGGAACUUGUCAUAUGUAAAAAAAAACAAAAAAUUGUAAAUGUUUCUUUGUGGGCAUCUUUUUACAUUUGUUUCUUUCUUCCUGGAAUCAUAUUUAGUGGCCUUAUGAUAAGCAAGAAGAGGUGAUGUUUCCAAAGAUUAUAAUUAUAGAAAAAACGGAGUGUUGGCACAGGCCUGUAAUCUGAGCAGUUGGAAGGUUUGAAGUUCAAGGUCUUCUUCAGCUUCGCAGUGAGUCAGGUCAGGGGCUAGGCUGCCAUACUUGAGACCCUGUCCCACAUUUAGAAAAGGAAAACUCAAAGAAAUAGAAAUAUCCAAAUCUCCCAUUUUUCCCAAGGGGCAGAUGGUAGAUUUCCUUAGCAGAA
rnacentral:lncRNA from 1 species